rnacentral:rRNA from 1 species
UACGUAGGGUGCGAGCGUUGUUCGGAAUCAUUGGGCGUAAAGCGUGCGUAGGUGGUUUGCUAAGUCGGGUGUGAAAGCCCUGGGCUCAACCCAGGAAGUGCAUUCGAAACUAGCUCACUUGAAGAUGGUAGAGGAAGGUGGAAUUCCAAGUGUAGAGGUGAAAUUCGUAGAUAUUUGGAGGAAUACCGGCGGCGAAGGCGGCCUUCUGGACCAUUCUUGACACUGAGACACGAAAGCGUGGGUAGCAAACAGG